SAAAGGCCUGGUCCUGACUUUUUUGUCGGCUUUUACUAUACUUAUACAUGCAAGCAUCCGCCCCCCUGUGAGAAUGCCCACAACACCCUUCUGGGAUAAAGGAGCUGGUAUCAGGCACGCACCCCGCAGCCCACAACACCUUGCUUAGCCACACCCUCAAGGGUAUUCAGCAGUAAUAAACAUUAAGCAUAAGUGAAAGCUUGACUUAAUUAAAGUAGACUAGAGCCGGUAAAAUCUCGUGCCAGCCACCGCGGUUAGACGAGAGGCUCAAGUUGACAAACAACGGCAAAAAGCGUGGUUAAGAAUUAUACUAAACUAAAGCCAAACCCUUUCUGAGCUGUUAUACGCAUUUGAAAGCACGAAGCCCAACAACGAAAGUGACUUUAUUUACCCUGAACCCACGAAAGCUGAGAAACAAACUGGGAUUAGAUACCCCACUAUGCUCAACCCUAAACAUUGACCUUUUAGCCCUGACUAAUCUCCGCCCGGGAAUUACUGACAUAAGUUUUAAACCCAAAGGACUUGGCGGCGCUUAACACCCACCUAGAGGAGCCUGUUCUAUAACCGAUAACCCCCGUUAAACCUCACCCUCCCUUGCCCCCCCCCCCCGCCCGUAUACCUCCGUCGUCAGCUUACCCUGUAAAGGAUCAAUAGUAAGCAAAAUCGGCAUAGCCCAACACGUCAGGUCAAGGUGCAGCGCAUGGAAGGGGAAGAAAUGGGCUACAUUCCCUGAUUCCUCAGCGGAUACGAAUGGCGCACUGAAAUAUGCGCCUGAAGGCGGAUUUAGAAGUAAGCCAGAAGCAGAGAGUCUCGCUGAAAUCCGGCCCCUAAGCGCGCACACACCGCCCGUCACCCUCUCCCGACACAUUCUAUACACCACCCCCGUGUAAGAAGAGGAAAGUCGUAACAUGGUAAGCGUACUGGAAAGUGCGCUUGGCUAAACAUU
rnacentral:ncRNA from 1 species